rnacentral:rRNA from 1 species
GGAAUUUUGGGCAAUGGGGGAAACCCUGACCCAGCAACGCCGCGUGAAGGAUGAAGUAUUUCGGUAUGUAAACUUCGAAAGAGUAGGAAGAAUUAAUGACGGUACUAUUUAUAAGGUCCGGCUAACUACGUGCCAGCAGCCGCGGUAAUACGGGGGGAGCAAGCGUUGUUCGGAUUUACUGGGCGUAAAGGGCGCGUAGGCGGCCUCCGCAAGUCGACUGUGAAAUCUCCGGGCUUAACCCGGAACGGUCAGCCGAUACUGCGGGGCUAGAGUGCAGAAGGGGCAACUGGAAUUCUCGGUGUAGCGGUGAAAUGCGUAGAUAUCGAGAGGAACACCUGCGGCGAAGGCGGGUUGCUGGGCUGACACUGACGCUGAGGCGCGAAAGCUAGGGGAGCGAA